AAUCAAACUUGGAGAUAGCUCGUACUCCCCGAAAUGCAUUUAGGUGCAGCCUGUGGAGUUUCUUACGUGAGGUAGAGCGACUGAUUGGAUGCGAGGCUUUCACCGGCUAUCAAGUCCAGACAAACUCCGAAUGCACGUUAAGUAAGAUCCACGGAGUGAGGGCAUGGGUGCUAAGGUCCAUGUCCGAGAGGAGAAGAAUCCAGACCAUCGGCUAAGGUCCCGAAAUAAUAGCUAAGUUGACCAAACGAAGUCAGAGUGCGAAGACAGCUAGGAUGUUGGCUUGGAAGCAGCCAUUCAUUUAAAGAGUGCGUAACAGCUCACUAGUCGAGUGCUUUGGCGUGGAUAAUAAUCGGGCAUAAGCUAUUUACCGAAGCUGUGGGAUGUGUAAACAUCGGUAGGGGAGCAUUCUAGCGGCGCUGAAGGUGAGAGGACAACUCUUGCUGGAGCUUCUAGAAAAGCAAAUGUAGGUAUAAGUAACGAUAAAGGAGGUGAGAAACCUCCUCGCCGAAAGACUAAGGUUUCCUGAUCAACGCUAAUCGGAUCAGGGUUAGUCGGGGCCUAAGGGGAAGCCGAACGGCGCACCCGAUGGAAGAACCGGUUAAUAUUCCGGUACUAAUUAUGUGAGCGAUGUGGAGACGGAGAUGUGACGGUCCUGCCAACUGACGGAAUAGUUGGUUGAAGGGUGUAGGAGUUGAUCUGAGUAGGCAAAUCCGCUCGGAGAUCCGAACCUGACAGUACUCUGAGUGCUUGCACAAGGAGAUAUGGACAACUGUAACGGUGCUCCCAAGAAAAUCCGCUAAGCAUAUUGCAUGAUUACCCGUACCAUAAACCGACACAGGUGGUUGGGUUGAGUAUACUAAGGCGCUCGAGUGAUUCGCGGUUAAGGAACUAGGCAAAAUAGUCCUGUAACUUCGGAAUAAAGGACGCUCACAGUGAAGGCUGUGAGCCGCAGAGAAUAGGCCCAGGCGACUGUUUAACAAAAACACAUGGCUAUGCUAAAUCGAAAGAUACUGUAUAUAGCCUGACACCUGCCCGGUGCUGGAAGGUUAAGAGGAGAUGUCAUCGCAAGAGAAGCAUUGAAUUGAAGCCCCAGUAAACGGCGGCCGUAACUAUAACGGUCCUAAGGUAGCGAAAUUCCUUGUCGGGUAAGUUCCGACCUGCACGAAUGGUGUAACGAUCUGGGUACUGUCUCAACCGCGAGCUCGGUGAAAUUGUAGUAUCGGUGAAGAUGCCGAUUACCCGCAACGGGACGAAAAGACCCCGUGAACCUUUACUAUAGCUUUGCAUUGGAUUUGGGUAACAAAUGUGUAGGAUAGGCCGGAGACUAAGAAGCGGGUACGCCAGUAUUCGUGGAGUCGCCGUUGAAAUACGGCCCUUUUGUUAUUUGGGUUCUAACUCGCGGAUGCGAGGACAUUGCAUGGUGGGUAGUUUGACUGGGGUGGUCGCCUCCAAAAGUGUAACGGAGGCUUCUAAAGGUACCCUCAGACCGAUUGGUAACCGGUCGUAGAGUGUAAUGGCACAAGGGUGCUUGACUGGGAGACUAACAAGUCGCACAGGUAGGAAACUAGAGCAUAGUGAUCCGGUGGUUCCGUAUGGAAGGGCCAUCGCUCAAAGGAUAAAAGGUACUCCGGGGAUAACAGGCUGAUCCCUCCCAAGAGCUCAUAUCGACGGAGUGGUUUGGCACCUCGAUGUCGGCUCGUCACAUCCUGGGGCUGGAGAAGGUCCCAAGGGUUGGGCUGUUCGCCCAUUAAAGUGGCACGCGAGCUGGGUUCAGAACGUCGUGAGACAGUUCGGUCUCUAUCUGUUGUGGGCGUUUGAGAUUUGAGGGGGCCUGACACUAGUACGAGAGGACCGUGUUGGACGAACCGCUGGUUUAUCGGUUAUGCCGCCAGGCGUAUUGCCGAGUAGCUACGUUCGGUUGAGAUAAGUGCUGAAAGCAUCUAAGUACGAAGCUUGCCUCAAGAUUAGAUCUCAUUAU
rnacentral:rRNA from 1 species